rnacentral:rRNA from 1 species
UACAGAGGUCUCGAGCGUUAGGCGGAAUCACUGGGCUUAAAGCGUGUGUAGGCGGGUCGGUAAGUGCCUUGUGAAAUCCCAUGGCUCAACCAUGGAACUGCUGGGCAUAUUGGCGAUCUUGUGCCACCUAGGGGCGAGCGGAACAGAUGGUGGAGCGGUGAAAUGCGUAGAUAUCAUCUGGAACGCCAAUGGUGAAAACAGCUCGCUGGGGGUGUGCAGACGCUGAGACACGAAAGCCAGGGGAGCGAACGGG